rnacentral:lncRNA from 1 species
GAACACUGCCCAACAGACAAAGCUAAAUCUGAGAUGGCCACCACAGAUGUGAGAGCCCAGCACUGUGACUGCAAGACAACCACUACCAAGGUGAAAUUUAAAGCUGCCAAGAAAAAGUGCUCUGUGGGUCGCCACCACACUGUUCUCAAUCACUCCGUCAAGGUUAUGAGCCAUGUGGAGAACCUCAGCAAGGAUGGCUGGGAGGACAUGAGUGAAGGCAGGUCUUAAACCUGGCUGAACACUGGAAGCAUAAAGGCGAAGGAAUGACACAACACCUCUGUUUAUACCUCUGUAAUAAAGAAGUUCAUUAAUA